CUCCUACGGGAGGCAGCAGUGGGGAAUAUUGCACAGUGGGGGAAACCCUGAUGCAGCGACGCCGCGUGAGUGAAGAAGUAAUUCGUUACGUAAAGCUCUAUCAGCAGGGAAGAAACACUGACCUUACGGUCAGCAGACGGUACCUGAGUAAGAAGCCCCGGCUAACUACGUGCCAGCAGCCGCGGUAAUACGUAGGGGGCAAGCGUUAUCCGGAAUUACUGGGUGUAAAGGGAGCGUAGACGGCAAUGCAAGUCCGGAGUGGAAUGCGGCAGCUCAACUGCCGAACUGCUCUGGAAACUGUAUGG
rnacentral:rRNA from 1 species